rnacentral:rRNA from 1 species
AUUGAACGCUGGCGGCAUGCUUUACACAUGCAAGUCGAACGGUAACAGGUUAAGCUGACGAGUGGCGAACGGGGGUGUAAUGCAUCGGAACAUGCCCGGUCGUGGGGGAUAACGCAGCGAAAGGUGCGCUAAUACCGCAUACGAUCGGAGGAUGAAAGCGGGGGAGCGUAAGGCCUCGCGAGAUCAGAGCGGCCGAUGUCAGAUUAGGUAGUUGGUGGGGUAAAGGCUCACCAAGCCAACGAUCUGUAGCUGGUCUGAGAGGACGACCAGCCACACUGGGACUGAGACACGGCCCAGACUCCUACGGGAGGCAGCAGUGGGGAAUUUUGGACAAUGGGCGAAAGCCUGAUCCAGCAAUGCCGCGUGCAGGAAGAAGGCCUUCGGGUUGUAAACUGCUUUUGUACGGAGCGAAAAGGUCUCCUCUAAUACAGGGGGCUCAUGACGGUACCGUAAGAAUAAGCACCGGCUAACUACGUGCCAGCAGCCGCAGUAA